CAGCUGAGAGAAGCCGGCUUCCAUUGUAAAUGAGUGACUUCCGGUAACUUUAGACGCUGAAGUCGGUGGCGGUGUGAAUGUCCGGUAAACUAUAUAUUAUUUACCUAAAAUAAAAGUAUUUUAAACUAAGUAAAGCGCUGUAACGUGGACAGUCUUUAGUGCGAUAGAAAGUAAAAAUCCAAACGGCAGUUGCUUGUUGUAUUUAGCCGCUACAGAGAUCCGGGACGCUGGCUACCAGCGGCAGUUGUUUAGCCGCCAAUAAGUGAAUGCAAGCCGGCUACAGGCACCGCCAGCUGACAGGCCUUUCAGGGGCCAUGGUGGUGGAGUUUAGCCAGAGAAAACGGAUGAAACUGUGUUGAGCUUGUGUUGGAUGGACGCGAUCCCAUCGAUGAAAACCGACUGGAAGAUGAUGCAGCGAGCUCUGCCUGCAAAGUCUGGGAUCUGAGACAGCUCAUACAGGAACCUGCACAACCACAUCAACAGUAAGAGGACACACACACACACACACACAAGUGUAUACAUAAACAAUUACUGGUGCAGUAUCUAAAUAUUUCUGUUAGCAGGUGAGAUACUGACUGUUCAGGUUUGUCUAGCAGUUUAACUUCUUCUUCCUCUGACGUCUCGUAGUGUUUCUUAAUUCUCUCCAGUUCCUCUGGCUGCGCUCUCUGACACAUUGACAAGUAAAUAUAAAUGAAGGGAUGCAUAAUUGCACACUUGCAGUUGCAGGUAAACCACAGUAAAGUGUGCUGUUAUACCUACAUUUUCAUACAGCGCUUCAAUCGUCUCCAGGUCCACCACAGAGUGAUCCACUGCCAGGACAGCUAGAAGAGAGAAUGUAAAAACAAAAGCACAGAUUUCACUUUAAUUGACGAUACGGCAGUUAAUAGGACACUAUGAAAAUAUACCAAAAAAAGGAAAAUUAAAGAGGCCAACCGUAGAGCCUCAGUUCUCCAGAGGAACAAUAACACAUCCCUCUCAGUCUGCUGUGUUCUUCAAACAAUUUUAGGAGUUUGGAAUUAGCAAUUCAGAUUGCUUCUCUGUAACUGUCUUGUUGACAUUGCGGUGAGGGUUUCAGCCUUUAAUCCUACUUUAAGUUCACCAACAGCUCAUAUUCAAAAUAAAAUACAGGGUGACUUAAUUGUGAUGACGGGGUUCAAGUUAAACAAGGGUGAUGUUCAGGGAGCCGCGGUUACUUGAAUGUUUACAGAUGAAGACUGCAGGUUCAAGUUCCCAAGACUGGCUGGGAAAUACCGCUAGUUUAAUGAUUUACUGUAAUCCUCUAGUCUAAUGUGUUCAAAAUGACAAUGUUUGUUUGAUUUCACACACUCAAUGUUGAUGUGAGUCUAAUGAUAGUCUUUCAUGUUUUUUGUUUUUUGUUAUCAUUAGGGAAACCCUGACUAUGUAUAAACAUGGAAACAUAUAAUAUAGCUUCUAAGUUAGCUAAAAUAACGGCAAUGUUUGCCAGUGGUGGAUGAAGUUGUCAAAUCCUUUAAUUUAGUAAAAGUAACAAUACUACAAUUUAAAAAAA